UAAUACUAUUUUUUCCCCUUCUUUCUGAGCUCUUCAUGGUCAACUCUGUGAAAAGGAGACCUGGAAAAGAGUCUUCUUGUUGGGGACCCUGGCCUGAGUUGGAGAAUCCUGGGAAGGAUCUACAAUCUACAACCUGGUGUAGAGAAAUUGACGAUCCAAGAUGGACAAGCAAACCAAAUUAAAUACUUUGAAAACACAAGUAAAAGUUUGAGGGCAUCAAAGGGCGUGAUGACCAUAAAGGGCCCUGGAACUUGAACUUGCGCACACACCCAUUCGCUCAAUCGGCAGACGCCGUCCCACAAUCGGACUUCCUGCACUUCAGGAGCAAACACAGUUGAGCUAUUUUGUUUACAAAAAAUUCCAUGGAACGCUCUGCUAGAGCCCUGUGCUUC
rnacentral:lncRNA from 1 species